rnacentral:rRNA from 1 species
GAGUAAUGCGUGACCAACCUGCCCCAUGCUCCAGAAUAGCUCUUGGAAACGGGUGGUAAUGCUGGAUGCUCCAACUUGACGCAUGUCUUGUUGGGAAAGUGUUUAGUGGCAUGGGAUGGGGUCGCGUCCUAUCAGCUUGUAGGCGGGGUAAUGGCCCACCUAGGCUUCGACGGGUAGCCGGCCUGAGAGGGCGGACGGCCACAUUGGGACUGAGAUACGGCCCAGAAUCCUACGGGAGGCAGCAGCA